GUAGGUGAACCUGCGGAAGGAUCAUUAAUAUUUGAAGAGUGGGGCAAAGGGGGGGUGAAAAGCCCUCUUUGUCUCUACCCUACCCUACCCACGUGGUGUGAACAUUUUUAUGUACUCACGAACCCCCUUUUUUACACAACCCCAAUCACAACAAAAUCACAAAAAACACACGAACCAAAGAAAAAACAUUAAGAAAAGAGAAAACAACUCUAGGCAAUGGAUAUCUUGGUUCCCGCAUCGAUGAAGAACG
rnacentral:misc_RNA from 1 species